rnacentral:rRNA from 1 species
GAAACACGGACCAAGGAGUCUAGAAUAUGCGCGAGUCAAAGGGCUGUCUAAACCCCAAGGCGAAACGAAAGUGAUAGGACGAGGCGUCUGCUUGCGUGUGGUGGGGGGGUUUACUCUCCCAUCAUCGCAUCUUUCGCCUCGUCCAUGGGCCGAUCCGCGUUCGGGACUUCAAACCCCCGAUUUGCCUCCAUAGGAGGACGGCGCAGGUCCGGGGCUCGUUAGCUUCCUCCCCGCCAUUCCAAACGCCAUAGUCGAUGGACGCUGCCGUUUCUACCCGUUGUACUUUCCGCUCUCGCUCCGGCUAGACGCGACGCAGGGAAGCGGGGAGCAAACGGUCGGCGAAAGUCGACUCGCGGGCGGGGUCGAACAGCGGGUACCUUGAGCGCAUAUCCUAGUACCCGAAAGAUGGUGAUCUAUGCCUGGCCAGGAUGAAGCCAGAGGAAACUCUGGUGGAGGUCCGUAGCGAUUCUGACGUGCAAAUCGAUCGUCGGAGCUGGGCAUAG